AGACUCCUACGGGAGGCAGCAGUGGGGAAUAUUGCACAAUGGGCGAAAGCCUGAUGCAGCGACGCCGCGUGAGGGAUGAAGGCCUUCGGGUUGUAAACCUCUUUCAGCAGGGAAGAAGCGAGAGUGACGGUACCUGCAGAAGAAGCACCGGCUAACUACGUGCCAGCAGCCGCGGUAAUACGUAGGGUGCGAGCGUUGUCCGGAAUUAUUGGGCGUAAAGAGCUUGUAGGCGGUUUGUCGCGUCUGCUGUGAAAAUCUGGGGCUUAACUCCGGACGUGCAGUGGGUACGGGCAGGCUAGAGUGUGGUAGGGGAGACUGGAAUUCCUGGUGUAGCGGUGAAAUGCGCAGAUAUCAGGAGGAACACCGAUGGCGAAGGCAGGUCUCUGGGCCAUAACUGACGCUGAGAAGCGAAAGCAUGGGUAGCGAACAGGAUUAGAUACCCUGGUAGUCCAUGCCGUAAACGUUGGGCGCUAGGUGUGGGGCUCAUUCCACGAGCUCUGUGCCGCAGCUAACGCAUUAAGCGCCCCGCCUGGGGAGUACGGCCGCAAGGCUAAAACUCAAAGGAAUUGACGG
rnacentral:rRNA from 1 species